rnacentral:rRNA from 1 species
GACGAACGCUGGCGGCGUGCUUAACACAUGCAAGUCGAACGGAAAGGCCCUGCUUUUGUGGGGUGCUCGAGUGGCGAACGGGUGAGUAACACGUGAGUAACCCGCACCUGACUUUGGGGUAACUUCUGGAAACUGGGGCGAAUAUCGGAUAGGAUCUCUUGCUGCACGGUGGGGGAUGGAAAGAGUCGGCGGUUGGGGAUGGUAUCGCGGCUUAUCCGCUUGUUGGUGGGGUAGUGGCUUACCAAGGCUGUGAAGGGUAGCCGGCCUGAGAGGGUGACCGGCCACAUUGGGACUGAGAUACGGCCCAGACUCCUACGGGAGGCAGCAGUGGGGAAUAUUGCACAAUGGGCGGAAGCCAGAUGCAGCGGCGCCGCGUGCGGGAUGACGGCCUUCGGGUUGUAAACCGCUUUCGACUGUGCUGAAGCGUGAGUGACGGUAAUGGGUAAAGAAGCAACGGCUAACUACGUG